AGAGUUUGAUCCUGGCUCAGAUUGAACGCUGGCGGCAGGCUUAACACAUGCAAGUCGAGCGGUAACAGGGGAAGCUUGCUUCCCGCUGACGAGCGGCGGACGGGUGAGUAAUGCUUAGGAAUCUGCCCAGUAGUGGGGGAUAGCCCGGGGAAACCCGGAUUAAUACCGCAUACGUCCUACGGGAGAAAGCAGGGGAUCUUCGGACCUUGCGCUAUUGGAUGAGCCUAAGUCGGAUUAGCUAGUUGGUGGGGUAAAGGCCUACCAAGGCGACGAUCCGUAGCUGGUCUGAGAGGAUGAUCAGCCACAUCGGGACUGAGACACGGCCCGAACUCCUACGGGAGGCAGCAGUGGGGAAUAUUGGACAAUGGGGGCAACCCUGAUCCAGCCAUGCCGCGUGUGUGAAGAAGGCUUUCGGGUUGUAAAGCACUUUCAGUAGGGAGGAAAACCUUAUGGUUAAUACCCAUGAGGCUUGACGUUACCUACAGAAGAAGC
rnacentral:rRNA from 1 species